GAUGAACGCUGGCGGCGUGCCUAAUACAUGCAAGUCGAGCGAACGGACGAGAAGCUUGCUUCUCUGAUGUUAGCGGCGGACGGGUGAGUAACACGUGGAUAACCUACCUAUAAGACUGGGAUAACUUCGGGAAACCGGAGCUAAUACCGGAUAAUAUUUUGAACCGCAUGGUUCAAAAGUGAAAGACGGUCUUGCUGUCACUUAUAGAUGGAUCCGCGCUGCAUUAGCUAGUUGGUAAGGUAACGGCUUACCAAGGCAACGAUGCAUAGCCGACCUGAGAGGGUGAUCGGCAACACUGGAACUGAGACACGGUCCAGACUCCGACGGGAGGCAGCAGUAGGGAAUCUUCCGCAAUGGGCGAAAGCCUGACGGAGCAACGCCGCGUGAGUGAUGAAGGUCUUCGGAUCGUAAAACUCUGUUAUUAGGGAAGAACAUAUGUGUAAGUAACUGUGCACAUCUUGAGGGUACCUAAUCAGAAAGCCACGGCUAACUACGUG
rnacentral:rRNA from 1 species